CCUACGGGUGGCUGCAGUGAGGAAUAUUGGUCAAUGGACGCAAGUCUGAACCAGCCACGUCGCGUGCAGGAUGACUGCCCUAUGAGUUGUAAACCUCUUUUGUUCGAGGGUAAUCCCCGUUACGUGUAUCGGGAUGACAGUAUCGUAUGAAUAAGCAUCGGCUAACUCCGUGCCAGCAGCCGCGGUAAUACGGAGGAUGCGAGCGUUAUCCGGAUUUUUUGGGUUUAAAGGGUGCGUAGGCGGCUUGAUAAGGUAGGGGUUAAAUGUCGGGGGUCAACCCCGAAACUGCCACUAAAACUGGUGGGCUAGAGAACAGAUGAGGUAGGCGGAAUAAAUGAAGUAGCGGUGAAAUGCUUAGAGAUCAUACAGAACACCGAUUGCGAAGGCAGCUUACCAAGCUGAGUCUGACGUUGAAGCACGAGAGCGUGGGUAGCGAACAGGAUUAGAUACCCCUGUAGUC
rnacentral:rRNA from 1 species